UUGUGGGUUAUUUACUGCUUAUGGUUCAUAGGGUUAUUAUUGCUCAUGGUUUUGCACUGCUGGCAGCGGGCGCAGAAAAGCACAUGAGUCGCUGUCAUACCGCGCAACGUUUUGCGGACGGGAGGACUCGAGUGAGUACUUGUUGCGAGCCAUACGGCGGCGGCAGCGUCCCGGAGCUGUCAAAUAUUGCGCACAGCUCUCAGUCUUCAGUCAGUGGAGUAAGCAGACUAAUCCACCAGACAAACAACUCGGAAGAUUGACCGCUUUUCACCCUCGAGAAACUCAUUUUUUUGUCUCAACACCCGGAAGCCUGUUUUUGAACCUGUUUGUUCAUUAUCAAUUUGUCACAUGGCUUUGGAGAAUUCAAUAACAACAAAAAAUGGCGACAAUCACGUUGCUCUGUGUGGUCUUGCUGCGUCAUUAAAAAUAUUCAUGUAAACACGGAGAAUUAAACGGGGAAAACGCAGGAAAGGGGUGUGUAUGCAAUGCUGGGCGUUAACAUUUGGCUGCACAAUAUUCACUACGAACAUUGCAUUUGGCUGUUAGUCGCUUUUUAAAGAGUGGCCCGAAUAAAGCAGGUAUGCAUGUUAUUGUGUGAUGACACAAAUAAAGGCGUUGUUUAGAGAUUUGGCCAACUUUUUUGUUUAUUUGUAGGAAACAGCAACAAGCUUUGGCACAGAUUUUUCGCUGUUGUCCUUAUUCCACGGCAUUGGUAUCGUAUUGCUGCCUGUUACCUUCACUGUUAGUGGGUUAUGAGCCAUUCUCCACUUAUUUACAUUGUGGGUUUAUGCAAUAUGGACGCGCUUUUCUUCACAGGCUCUCUUUUUUUACAGACACUGGUGACAACAAACGGAGCCCUCAGACACUGUGCCUGGCCUCAGCCCUGUUGUACUUAUUAUUACACAUGUUGCUUUUUUUUUGCUUUUCGCGUUUUGACACGAACAUUUUUGGCCCUGUGCAGCGAGGGGCUAAUGGAGUUGUUUACAUGAAGUGCGGAGGGCGGACUGAAGAGGAGGAGGAGGAGGAGGAGCCGCGACGUCGGCCAGCGACGCCACCGGACUGCUCGAGAGGCUUCUCGCGCCGAGGGUGGGGGGGCGGAGCCCGCGAGGAGAAUCAUAACAAGUCUGACGUCACUCGGCCUUGUGGUUGGUAUGAAUAAUAUACAGUAGUUUGUCUCGACCAAGUCCUAGCAGGAAAGGGGAAAAAAAAAAUCUGCGUGGUUGUUUUAUGAGAUGAAACAUUAACGAGCCCUCUGCGCAGGAGGCAAAGAAAAUAACGAGCAGCUAAAUAAACUAAAUAUGGAUAAGUAGAUUGCAAAAAAAAAAAAAAAAAAAACGUGCAUCAGGAUAGUACACAUGACUAUAAAGCAAGCAUCGUCAUCACAUUUCCAAGAAUUGUACAACGUUUGUAAUUACAGAUUCACAUCCAGCAGGGCCACUGAGUUCAGAUUACACAUGUCGGGGUUGUGCAUUAUUGACAGGCCCACCCCUCAGACACAGGUAGACCUUUCAUCAUACAUCAUCGUCCUGUUGUACGUGCAUAUGGGAGCUGACUCCUAUAACUCCCAAGACUUACUCCUGAGCCACAUUUGCCAUUGACUUUAUUGACGCAGAGUGGCAUAAGGCAUAUAGGACUGCUUUUAUUUUCCACUGUUUUUCCAGUUCUCACAUCCUCUUAAGAAGUCUGCAUGUUUAUUUCUGUUCCCCUAAUGAAAUUAUGAAAUUUAGUUCAUGUUUUCUACCUUUUUCACUCUGACUGUGUUAGUUUAUUUUCUGGCGUCUUAUUAUAUUUACCCCAAAAUGUGGAAUUUUAAAAUCUCCCACGGUUAGAGGGGCAGCAGACUUCCUGCUGGUGACCACUGGUUUGAAGGAUAUUUGUAUAUUUCUGUAUAUUGCUUAAAAUCAUUUAUAUGAAAACGAAUGCUGGAGAUGCAACGUCUAUAUGUUUUUUAUAACAGAAAAUAAGCUGCAAAAAUUCAACAGGAAAAACUUUGUCAUCUUUGCACCUGUUGACCUAGAGCACAGAUAUUAUGAGUGGAUGACGAAUGGAGCGAAGCCCCGCACUGCUAGAUUUGACAGGCUGCCCUGGUUCAGUUAUCACAGUGCUGAUGCUGUCCCCAUCGAAGGUACAGUACUGUGAUAACUGAAGGAUGGCUGCCAACUUGACACGAGUGCAGUGAAUCAAAGCACGUUCGGCUAAACGAGCCAGAGGACCAAAGAGAAGAAAGAAAUGAUUGUGGUAGGUUGAAUUAGACAAGUUUAAUGGGAUAUUCAAAGGUCUUGAUCAUUCACAAAUAUAUAUAUACAAUUCAGCUCAAAACCUGUAAAUUAGUGUAUUGCUCACUACAUACUGUGUGUAAGUUCUGUUUAACUAUAAGAAAUAAAGUGAAUUUUCUUUUA